GGUCUUUCUCAUAUUUUAAUGCAGUUUAACAUUGAGCCACAACCACAUAUGUUCCAUUGUUAUCACUCAUUCAUGUUUAUACUCGAUUUGGCAGAACUAGCUCACGACUAAAAGGAGGGAAUAAGUUGGGUUAAACUCAUCGAAGCGAGUCGCAUCAAUUAAUCAAUAAAGGAACGAAGCAUGAAACAUCAUACGAUUUAUAAUAGAGAAGUUAAUCGACAUAAUCAUCACCAAAUACAGAAAAAUUCUAAAUCUAGUGUAAGAACAACGUCCCCUUUGAUGUCAAGACUAACCCAACUAUCAAAAGAACCAGAAACUCAGCAAUUAAAUCGCAAUGAAAUAGUCUUUAUAAUCCAACAUGGGUAUUAGUCUAUAAUCAGUACGGAAAAAAAAUCCUCCAAUAAACUGAUUACCAUUAAGAUACUUGAACAAAUCAAACCAUUAACUAAUUACAUGCUGAAUUCUCAAACAGAACAUCAUGGCUAGCAGUGAAAGCCAUUGACUGCACAUUUCCAUACAGCCUGAUGGUUUCCCGAACCAUCAAUCAAUCACUGAAGCUCGAUACUUAUGCUAAGUAAAGCAUAAUGAACAUACAAUGGACUAAGAAUGAUCACAUAGGUCAGUAAUACACACUAUUCAAAAACAAACAUCAGUGGAUAACCAAUUACUCAUCCUCGCUCUCAACAGACCAAAUACUUGAUUUAAAUAUUCCAAUAACUUCAAAGGUUAAAUAGAGACAGAACCUAAGAUAGAUUUAGACAUGUCCAGGUUGAAUCUAGGAUAAAAAAAUCCAAAAUAACAGUUCCAGAACUUUUAGAAAUAAGGGAAUACAAGUCAACAAUACCCAUAAUGACUUCAUGAAUUGGGAUAGAUUCAAAUGAGGCUAAACGAUUCAAACAAGUUCACAAAUCCAUCUCUCAUCACAAUUCAAACAAUGCCAAAUGGGAUGGCUAUACACACCUCAGACAGUACAACAGUAUCACAGAAAGGUAAAGAAGAAGAAAGGAGCCACGUUCAUAUGAAUCGAUUCAAUAACAACUUAACGACUUGUGUUAAAAUAAAGUAAAAAUAACAAACCUGUUGGUGAAAAAUUACUUCUAAUAAAAUCAGCAGAAAUAAGGAGUAGAAAUUCAACAAUCAACUCCAAAUCGUGAAAUCACCGUAGAAAUCGACCCGAAUCGCGAACACACCUUGAAUCGACAAAUGAAACACGCACUCCGAUUAACUCCAAACAACCUCAAUCGAAUUCAAUCGUUGAAAUAUUAAAUCAAAAACCAAGUGUGUGUGUAUAUAUAUAUAGUGUUUCUUUUUUGCUUUGGGGAAAUCAGAGAACAAACCUAAAGAAAACUAAAAUCAGAAAAACGAUUCAAGAGAAAUCAAAAAACCUUAGCAGACUCAGUUUUUCUUGAUGGUUCACCAAUAAUCCUCUCUCCGUAUAAAAAUCCCCCUCCUAAGAAAGAAAAUUCUUGCCUUAUAUAUCCUUUUCGCCAAAAAACUCGAACCUUCUGCCCUCAAUCCAAAAAAUGCUUUCAUUCUCUUUCUGUGAAUGAUUUUAGGGAUAAAUGGAGGGCAUGGAUUGAUUUCAAUCCAUCCACGACUCCCAUUCAUCCAAAAAUCGCUCAAGAAGCAAAAGUGUAGGAGAACAAUUUAAAGAUAGAAGACCUUUAAAUGUAAGAAAGAAAGAGAUUUUGUUUAG
rnacentral:lncRNA from 1 species